rnacentral:ncRNA from 1 species
CCUAAUAUCAAAUUGGUGCCGUUGCCAAAUUCUAAGUAGAUUUGAACAUUGAGAUUUAGUCAUUUGCUUGAGACUAAGUCAUUUUUAUUUUCUUUAGUUACUGAUUCUCUUUCUUCACCUCCCUUUAAUUUACAGGUGUAUGAACUUGAGGAGCAGGGGUCCAUCAAACCUAGUUCCAAGAGCCGCAGACAUCAGAGCUUUAGAGAGGGAGUGUGCUAGAAAGAGAAGAGAAGAAGAGCAACAGUCUCACUUGCAGAGAUUGGAUACGGAUACGGGAGACAUACCUCAAAAUGAUGCCAACAACGUUCCACAAAACCAAUAGCGAGCAGCUCGACCCAUUGGCACUUAUGACCGCCCCAACGUUCAUGGUCAUAGAUUGGGAAUCCGAGCACCAGCUGAAGCAGCCAACAACUUUGAGAUCAAAUCAGGACUCCUCAACGUGAUUGAGAACAACAAGUAUCAUGGCUUAGCUCUAGAGGACCCAUUUGAUCACUUGGACAGGUUCGACAGCUACUGUGGGUUGUCAAAAACCAAUGGUGUGUCUGAGGAUGCCUUAAAGCUGAAGUUAUUCCCUUCCUCUCUGGGGCAUAAGGCACGACAGUGGGAGAAGUCUCUACUAAGUGACUCAAUCACCACUUGGGAUGACUGCAAGAAAGCUUUCUUGGAAAAGUUCUUCUCUACUUCAAGAAUCUACUUCAAGAACUGCUAAGCUGAGAAAUGAGAUCUCCAGUUUUCAACAGAAAGGCUUGGAAGGCUUCAGUGAAGCCUGGGAGAGAUUCAAGGGCUACCAAGCUCAAUGCCCACACCAUGGUUUCUCUAGGGAGAGCUUGCUGAGCACAUUCUACUGUGGUGCUCUGCCUAAGUAGAUGGUCAAACUGGAUACAGCUAGCAAUGGGUUCUUCUUGGGGAGAACUGAGGAAGAUGCAGAAAAGCUGGUUGACAAUAUGGUAAAGAGUGAUGCUGUCUACAGUGGAGACCACGACAGAGGCAGUCGAACAAAUGACAAACAGACGAGGAGGGAGUUAAAGGCUCUCCAGGAUAAGAUUGACAUUCUCAUUGCUGAUAAGGCCACCCAGGAGCAGCUGCACUUUGUUGGUAACCCAAACAAAGAAGCCACACCUGUGGUCCAGGAAGUUGAUGGUUUGGAAGGGCAAGAAGAGUUGUGCUUCAUCAACAACAAUGGUAGCUGGUACAAGAAAGAGCCAAACUUUCAGUACAACAACUACCAACAGAGAUCUUACCCCAAC